rnacentral:rRNA from 1 species
GAUGAACGCUGGCGGCGUGCUUAACACAUGCAAGUCGAACGGAAAGGCCCAAGCUUGCUUGGGUACUCGAGUGGCGAACGGGUGAGUAACACGUGGGUGAUCUGCCCUGCACUUCGGGAUAAGCCUGGGAAACUGGGUCUAAUACUGGAUAGGACCACUUCUUGGAUGUUGUGGUGGAAAGUUUUUUCGGUGUGGGAUGAGCUCGCGGCCUAUCAGCUUGUUGGUGGGGUAAUGGCCUACCAAGGCGUCGACGGGUAGCCGGCCUGAGAGGGUGUACGGCCACAUUGGGACUGAGAUACGGCCCAGACUCCUACGGGAGGCAGCAGUGGGGAAUAUUGCACAAUGGGCGCAAGCCUGAUGCAGCGACGCCGCGGGGGGGAGGACGGCCUUCGGGUUGUAAACUCCUUUCGCUAGGGACGAAGCGUUUUGUGACGGUACCUGGAGAAGAAGCACCGGCUAACUACGUG